rnacentral:lncRNA from 1 species
AGGGGAAAUUAGGAUGCCGGAAAGCGACGUAUUGGAACUUCGAGCUGAAGUGCGCAGACUGGCAAAGUUCCAGGCCAGCAGCUGCAUUCUUCCUUUCUAAAUAGUCUGCUUCCUUGAAAACACCUCUUCACAUCCAGUUUGGAGUUAAAGCUCAG